CCCCUCUCAGGACCAUACCUGGAGAGUUUCCAGUACUCCAUCAGUCUUGACUACAGGAGGGAGAGUCAAGCAGAGGAAUGCCCAUUCCAUUCCUAGCUUGGGCAGUGGCUAGUGAGUGGGAGGCAAGCUGCUACAAAU